ensembl:rRNA 5S_rRNA 5S ribosomal RNA
ACUGGAAGCCAUAUCACCCUGCAGCCCAAGACCGGUUACUCACUGAAGCUAAGCAGGGCUGAGCCUGGUCAGAACCAAGAUAGGGGACCACAAGGGAAAACUAGAUUGCUGUUGGAA